AGUCGGUUGUACGGUUGCGGGGAAGAAAUUCCACGAGGAAAGUCCGAGCUCCACACGGCAGGAUGCCGCCUAACGGACGGUGAAGGUGACUUCAAGGAAAGUGCAACAGAAAAUUACCGCAUAAUUUAUUAUGUAAGGAUGAAAAGGCAGGGUAAGAGCCUACCGGCGCCACGGUAACGUGGUGCGCUGUGUAAACCCCAUUCGGAGCAAGAUAGGGGCUGACCGUAAGAUAGCCGGUCGGGUCAGCCUGUAAAACGUCGCUUGAGCUUGUCGGCAACGGCAAGCGUAGAUAGAUAACCGUAUUAAAUGACAGAACUCGGCUUACAGACCGACUCGAC
rnacentral:RNase_P_RNA from 1 species